AGUCCUAUAGCUCAGUGGUCAGAGCACUCGCCUCGUAAGCGAGAGACCUGGGUUCGAUUCCCGGCAGGGCGA
rnacentral:tRNA from 1 species